UGUGUGUGUGUGUGUGUGUGUGUGUGUCUGUGUGUAUAUUUGUUAGAGAGUCAUCUUAUGGAGUGUUUACAUCCGGAAUCUUGAAGGGUUGCAGGUUCAAGUCACAGUGAUGGCGAGCUAUGGCAUAAUUUCCUUAAGCAAGAAACUAACACACAUUUGCUUCUCUCGACUCAGGAGUAUAAAUGAGUACCUGGUCGUUGACUGGGGUUCUAAGCGGCCAUCAGCUGUGAUGUGACAUCAGCCACUGGGGUCCUGGUGAGACUUCGGGUGCUCACACCACAGUUGGCUUUAGAAGUCGGUGCUUCUGCGAGUGCCUGGCCCGGCUCCAGGAGUUUGCUAGCGCAGGCCCAGACUUCCCAGAGUAGCGCACAGGGCCCAGCUUAACAGCUGGGAGCAUGACCUCUGAGAGGCAGCUUCUGACAUUUUUGUGUCUCUCGUGAGUCUCCCAAUUCUUUGUCCGUUUUUCAGUCUACGGAGAUGACUUUGACUGGACUUUAAAUUUGUUGUGAAUACAUCAACUUCUAGAAACACAGGAUGUUGUCAGAUCAUACAGGAAAUGGUGGAGACUAUGCUUUUACUGAAGCAUCUUUACUUCAACAACCUGGAGAUCAGAUACAGCUGUCGUUGAUAUAUCUUCGACUUACAAUCGUUAUUUGAUGGCAAAUCAGACACCAAAUGUUAACAAAUAUCAGAAAUUUGAUGAAAGGUAUGGAAGUUUGUCGACGGAUAGAACGGGCACAGUUAACGUCAGUCUUCCUGUUGGUGGACCAAAAUGGAUGGCAUCUUCACUAGAACCGGAGAACCAGUGGCUGUCACUGUGAUACAAGAAAUGUACUAAGGUGAGUCUGUGUUUGCACGUUGCCUUUCCUCUUUGAAAGACGAGAGAGUAACAGCUAGCAAGAGCUUGAAAGGGCCGAGUACGACCAAAUAUGAAGGUGACAGGAAGGAAAUGGUGGAGCACAUCAGACAGGCUUUGUAUACAUCCAAGAUUAUCUCGUAUGCCCAGGGCUUCAUACUGCUGAGAGAAGCGGCGAUGGAAUACAAUUAAACACUCAACUAUCGAUCAAAAUUGCUCUCAUGUGGAGAGGUGGCUGCAUCAUUAGAAGGCAUCACGCAAAGUCUGUGCAAUGGCUGUCACUCUUGGUAUCCCCACUCCAUACUUCAGCACUGCUCUCACCUUUCACGAUGGCUACAGAUCAGGCAGCUUGCCAGCUAAUCUCAUCCAGGCACAGAGAGAUUACUUUG